AAAGGUAUAGCUCAGUGGUAGAGUGCAUGCUUAGCAUGCCCAAGGUCCUGGGUUCAAUUCCCAGUACCUCCA
rnacentral:tRNA from 1 species